rnacentral:lncRNA from 1 species
CAUAUGGAGGCUCCCAGGCCAGGGGUCAAAUCGGAGCUACAGCUGCUGGCCUACACCACAGACACAGCAACGGAGGAUCCGAGCUGCAUCUUCAACCUACACCACAACUCAUGGCAAUGCUGGAUCCUUAACUCACUGAGUGAGGCCAGGGGUUGAACCUGAGUUUUCAUGGAUGCUAGUCAGAUUCAUUUCCGCUGAGCCAUGAUGGGAACUCCCUGUUUUUUGGAUUCAAUCUGCCAAAUGAAGCAAGGACCCUUCGUGGAAGAGUUUGUCAGGCAUGUAUCACGACAGUAACACUUGUUCCCAUGUUUCAGAACUAACGGCUGGUUUUUCAACACCAUAAUAUUGAUCUGCCAUAUUAUCAUCCAAGUUCCUAUUCCAAAAUGUGUUUGGAACUUUCUUCUUAAACUAAGUCCAUUGAGUUCUUAGAGUGCAUUCAAAUUCUACUCAAAGGAAUCACUAAUCCAGAAAGUUUAUUUCUAAGAGGAGAGAUCUGGUUUCUUGCCCUGAAAAUAUCCAGAUUAAUUAAUGUAACUACUGGGAUGUACCUUGUGUAAUCGAGGCUUCCAAAAUGACAUGACACACUUCAUUAGACAAGUAUGUAUUGGGGCAGAGUCAAUGUUGGGGCUAAUGUUCCAUGUAUCUGAGAGAUUUAUUAUUUCAUCUAUAAAGAAAGCACAAUUGGGAAUCCAAAAUUCCAAAAGCAUUAAACUUUGUAGAAUUAGAGAAGAGAGAAAAACAAGGCUCUAAGGUAUCUUGUACAUAAUGAGUUCUAUGGCUUGACAGUGUUCAGCCUCAACCAUUCUGGCUAUUACAACCACUGUCACAAAAUAAUACUACCACUUCCCUCAGUAAACCCUUCUAGGAUCAACCAAAUGGCCAACCGUUCUUUCUUUCUUUCUUUUUUUGUUAACCUAAGCCCUCUUGAUUACACUCUUGACCAAGCUGACUCAGCCUAUCAAUACCCAUACCAAGCAGGCAAAUAAUCUUGAUGUUUAGCCGUCAACUUGGGCCAACCCGCAAGGGGAUUCAUGUCUGAGACGAAAAGAAAAACAAAAAUAGCAAAGGACUGGGCAUGGAUUUUGACACUUCUGAAAGACUAGAAAAUGUGAAUCACCACUUCAGUCGGUUGGCACCUGGAAGUGUUUAUCUGAUCUGCUGUUCUGCCAGCACCAUCGGUCCAGGACGAAGACAAGGGAAAAAAAAAAAAAAAAAAAAGUCAAAGUUCCGCCACAGGCAAAGCUCAUGAAAAAAACUGCCGUCCACACUUUCCGAGAGCCAUAAGGAGUACAGGAUCAGGGUUCUAAUCCUGUCUCUGCCUCUUUUACUGCCCAGGUGACCUUUGCACAUGAUCUCACCUUUCUGAACCUCAGAAUCCCUGCAUGGAAAAUGAGUCUAAUGAUCACAAUGAGAUAGCAAAGAAUUGAGAAACGUGCCUGGUACAAAGUCAUUACUCAGUAGCAAUUAUGGGAAAGAAAUUUUACAUCUUCUCUUAGAGUACCUAUCAAGCACGCAUUUUUUUUUUUUUUUUUCUCAUGUAUUGGGAACUUGCUCUGUGCCAGAUGCUUAGCUAAGCAUGGAAUUACAAAUUUGGCAAAUGCCUGGAGGAUAAAUUGGGUGGAUGGGGAGUUGCCAUAAGCAAGAGUGUAAAGAUGCAGAGGCACUGAAGAACAUAUAAGCCCCCUCUAAUGUUUAGAUAACAGAAAGCAGCUCCUAAUAAUGGAGACAGAGAAUUCCCACCUGAAUUAUCUGAGGGACUUUUCAACUAUGUCUGGAUCUGAAUCUCUCCUUGGAGAUGCUGAUUCAUUAAGUCUGGGAUGGGACAUGGACCUCCGCAAGGCAGGUAAUUUAAAAUGACAAUAGCUAAUACUAAUUAGUUUUUAAUCUACAUAUGGUAUUGUGUUAAGUGUCUUAGCUAUAUCAAAUUUAUUUGAUCACUCCCCUAUUCCCAUGAGGGAGACACCUCUCCUAGCCACAUUUUCAAGAUGAAAAGCUGCAACAGAAAAGUCAAGUGAAUUAAUGAAGAUCAUAAAGCUUGCCAAUGGUGGAAUCAGGACUCCAGCCCAUGCAGGACUUAGUUCCAGAACCCAAGUCCUCAACUUCCCUGCCAUGCUGCCCUCCAACCCUUGGAAGACAGGCCAGAUACCUAUAGGACAAACACAGAGUACAUGAGAGGGGGUGAAGAGAAAUGAGGCAGGGGAGGUUGGUGGCCUCAUAUUAGGAAAGCCUUGUUUCCAAGCUGGGGAAUCUGGCACUGAGGGCCUUCAAUCGCCAUGAAGAAUUGCAAGCCACUUGGCACACUUACACUAUCUUUUCAUCAGCCCCGAGCAGAGGCCCUGGCAUCUGACACAGGAAAAGGAGGUAUUUAAAAUGAGUGAUCCACUCAUUCAUGAUUUAGUCUUCUAUACCAACCACCACCCUGUACCAGGUGCCAUGGAUUAUAGGAAGUAUUGAAACAUAGCCCUGGCUUUUGAUGGAAAGGGGUAUUUAACCAUAUGGCAAAGAGCUUCAGAUCCCACAGCAAAAAUCAGCACAGAAUACCAGGAAGGUCCAAAGAAGAAAAUUGUCACUUGAAGAAUCUACAGACGCAUCCCAGAGGCAGGGGUGUCAGGGGCAAGGAAGUCUCCAGAGAAGAGAGAGAUGGAGCCUGUUAGUAGAAUCUAGUAGACUGUUAACAUUGAAGGUACAAGCUGCAGCGGGAGAAUGAAGUGGGGGUGGAGCAGGGGAAUCAAUGAGAAAGUGAAGAGAAGGAGUUUCUGUUGUGGAUCAGAGGGUCAAGAAACCGACUAGUAUCCAUGAGGACGCAGGAUCAAUCCCUGGCCUCACUCAGUUGGUUAAGGAUCCGGCAUUGCUGCAAGAUGUGACAUAGGUUGCAGAUGUAGCUUGGAUCUGACAUGGCUGUGGCUGUGGCUGUGGUGUAGGCCGGUAGCUGGAGCUCUGAUUCAACCCCUAGCC